rnacentral:rRNA from 1 species
UACGUAGGUCCCGAGCGUUGUCCGGAUUUAUUGGGCGUAAGGAGAACGCAGGCGGUCUUUUAAGUCUGAUGUGAAAGCCUUCGGCUUAACCGGAGUAGUGCAUUGGAAACUGGGAGACUUGAGUGCAGAAGAGGAGAGUGGAACUCCAUGUGUAGCGGUGAAAUGCGUAGAUAUAUGGAAGAACACCAGUGGCGAAAGCGGCUCUCUGGACUGUAACUGACACUGAGGUACGAAAGCGUGGGGAGCAAACAGG